rnacentral:rRNA from 1 species
AUUGAACGCUGGCGGCAGGCCUAACACAUGCAAGUCGAACGAGUGGCGGACGGGUGAGUAAUGUCUGGGAAACUGCAUGAUGGAGGGGGAUCACUACUGGAAAAGGUAGCUAAUACCGCAUACUAUCAGAUGUGCCCAGAUGGGAUGGGCUUGUUGGUGGGGCAACGGCUCACCAAGGCGACACUCCCUAGCUGGUCUGAGAGGAGGACCGGCCGCCCGUGAACUGAGACACGGUCCAGACUCCUACGGGAGGCAGCAGUGGGUAAUAUUGCACAAUGGGCGCAAUCCUGAUGCAGCCAUGCCGCGUGUAUGAAGAAGGCCUUCGGGUUGUAAAGUACUUUCAGCGGGGAGGCGUUACCCGCAGAAUAAGCACCGGCUAACUCCGUGCCAGCAGCCGCGGUAAUUC